rnacentral:rRNA from 1 species
UCAGACGAUGCGUCAUGCAUAUCAAUAAGCGGAGGAAAAGAAACUAACAAGGAUUCCCCUAGUAACGGCGAGUGAAGCGGGAAGAGCUCAAAUUUGAAAUCUUAAAGGGUUUCCCUUUACGAAUUGUAGUUUAAAGAAGUGUUUUCUGUUGAGGUUUUGGUAAAAGCUCUUUGGAAUAGGACAUCAUAGAGGGUGAGAAUCCCGUAUUUGACCUUUACUUUCAACUUUGUGAUACACUUUCAAAGAGUCGGAUUGUUUGGGAAUGCAGUCCAAAAUGGGUGGUAAAUUUCAUCUAAAGCUAAAUAUUGGCGAGAGACCGAUAGCGAACAAGUACCGUGAGGGAAAGAUGAAAAGAACUUUGAAAAGAGAGUUAAACAGUACGUGAAAUUGUCAAAAGGGAAGCGUUUGACACCAGUGUUGUUUUUCUGAAAAUCAAUUAAAGAACUGUUUAUGCUAAGCUGUUUAGACUUUAUCAGCUAUCUGUUUAGUUUUGAGCUUUUCUUUAAUGCACUUUUCAGUUAACAAGUCAACAUCAAUUUCUUUUGCUGUAAAAAAGCUUGAGGAAGGUGGCUUGAGAUUCGUCUUAAGUGUUUAUAGCCUCUUGCCUAUGCAGUCGGAGAGAUUGAGGUCUGCAGCGUAGAUCCUUCGGGGCUAAAUGCAUUUGUGCUAAGUUAUAGCAUUUUAUAGACAACUUGUUGACUAUGAUUUGUCUUGUAGCUUACUCGCUUAUGUUAUUUUACCUACGCUUAGGAUGUUGAAUCUGUGCGAGACUAC